rnacentral:rRNA from 1 species
GACGAACGCUGGCGGCGUGCUUAACACAUGCAAGUCGAACGGAAAGGCCCUGCUUUUGUUGGGUGCUCGAGUGGCGAACGGGUGAGUAUCACGUGAGUAACCUGCCCUUGACUUUGGGAUAACUUCAGGAAACUGGGGCUAAUACCGGAUAUGAUCUCCUGCUGCAUGGUGGGCGUUGGAGAGUUUCGGCGGUUGGGGAUGGACUCGCGGCUUAUCAGCUUGUUUGUGGAGUAGUGGCUUACCAAGGCUUUGACGGGUAGCCGGCCUGGGAGGGUGACCGGCGACAUUGGGACUGAGAUAGGGAGCAGAAUCGUACGGGAGGCAGCAGUGGGGAAUAUUGCACAAUGGGCGGACGCCUGAUGCAGCAACGCCGCGUGCGGGAUGCCGGCCUUCGGGUUGUAAACCGAUUUCGACUGUGACGAAGAGUGAGUGACGGUAAUGGGUAAAGAAGCCACGGCUAACUACGUG